rnacentral:lncRNA from 1 species
CUAACAAUAACGCUGUCGGGUGACCUUGAUGUUCCCUCAGGAUUUCCUCAUGGUGUGUGUUAUAUAGACGCACAAUUAUGCUGGGCAGCAUCUGCGUGUGUAUUAUUGCUAAUCUAGAUACCAACAGAUGUACAUACGACGAGAAACACUACACCGAUACUACAAUUCAGCUACCAUACCAGGGGUGUCUGAAAACUUAUUUGCAUAUAUUAUAUACCAUACGUUUCAUGUUAAUAGGCUGUAUUGAACCAGUGCACAGUCAGGUAGCAUAUUUCUGCAGGCGUCAAAAUGGCGGAAAUGGACUAAAGUCUCUCUCACACGUGUCACGAGUGAGUGAGUGAGCUUUUAGCAAUAUUCCAGCAAUAUCACGGCGGGGUAGACCAGGAAUGGGCUUCACACAUUGUACCAUUGUGGUGAUCGAACCCGGGUCUUCGGCGUGACGAGCAAUAUCAUGAACAAUUUAUGUAUAUUUAGUUUUCGGACUGACUCAAAAUUAAAGAAGAAUUAUCGAUCAUUCACUCUUAAUAAUCCCUCGCGAAAAAGUGAAACAAUCCCCCAACAAUACGACUGUUCUUCCCAAGCUAAAAAGUAUGGAAAUGUAACAUGGCAUAACCUAAUUAAAAUGAUGACAACCUGUGUACCAAGCUGUGUACAAGAAAGUACCAUUCAAUUCCGUUUUGAGUUGGUAAGAUGAUUAUUUAUAUAUAUGACGUCCUCCUAUCUGCUUUCUCUCAUCACAUUCAAAUCAUAAUUCAUCAUAAAUGUAUAUGUAUAGAUAUCUAAUACACAGGUAACUCACAAGGAUCGUUUCACACAUUCAAAUCAUAAUUCAUCACAUGUGUAACAUAUUCCAUUAGGAUCUGCACACUGAUAUGAGGUGAAGGCAUGUAUCGUCGAAACAAUUACUUCAGACCUUUGAAAUUAUUCAUUAUUUGAACUUGAGCUGUCAUUUCUCAUGAAUAACUACUUCUUGUCGUUCAAGUCAUGUUUCACAAUAAUUUCCACUUAUCUGAACCGGGAAAUAUAUCUUCAUUGUAAUCAUACCUGUGAUUUGUUGUCUCAGAAAUUUGACCCUUGUAGGUACAAUCGAACAAAUGUUUUUUUUAAAAAUAAAAGUCCCGUUUAUAAGAAAAAGUAAUUUCUCUAACCAUUUAAUACACUUGUGGGCUAUACCAUUUUGCUAUACACCUGUUGUUAGCUUGAUUAAUCAAAUACCUUACUCGCAGAUGCCACCAGGUAAUGUAAUGUUAUAUACAUAAUAUUAUACUCGUACCUAAAGCUAUCAUCAGAGAACAACUUUGAAGGUAAGUUCAGCUGAUCUGGUACCGCGGAAGGUGUCGUCGUUUGAGCUAUGCAGUCCUUUGCCGGAAACCUAUGAUUCUCACAAUGAUGUUCCGGGUGUUGCUUCUGGUUCUUCUCGUGUCAGCCACUGUGGCGGAAGGUCGACGCCCUAGGAACUACGUCAAUCUUCGUGACACGUCCAGCCAUGAAGUGAGACGCGGGAGGAAUUUGCCACCAAAAGAAGCUAUAGAAGUCAGAUAUCGUAGAUAGAGAACCACAUGUACAAAACGCAUAGCAGCCUCCACGGACCAACAGAUAGAGCGAUUGCCUGGAGAAGUGAAAAUCGGGGUUUCGAAUCCCGGUUGCGUCACACCGAGAGAUGCUUAUUUAUAAACACUUGCUGAUGAUUAUGUCGGAAUCGUGCAAUGGACUCUUAUGCUUUCAGGAAUGUCUUCUCACAAUUAUCAAAUAUGUUUUUCCUAGCACCUUCUUGUUCCUUAGGCGUUCUCUUUAUCCUCAUUAUCUUCUCUGUACAUUUGCAUAUUUUUGUCCUUGGCAUAUUUUUGACGGGUGCCAGCAGCGACCUUUUGCAAACGUCCAUUAUCAUCAAAUUUCUUACAAUUAUGGAAAGGGUUUUAUAAUUCAUUUAAAUUCAAAUCUAAAUUAGAAGAAUAUAUUUGAAAUAUGUUUUAUCUUUCUUUUUAAUGUAAAUUUACUUUGUUUAACACUUUAAGAGAAAUGUUAAGAGGCUAUGUUUUGCCGCUUUUAACAGUGACACUUAAUAACUAUUACGGAUAAAUAUCAUAUGCCAAAUGAUAAAUGUUCUUGUCUAUAUUGUCUCUUAUAUACGGUUUAUAAUA